AAAUCAACGAAAAAAAAUGAACAAUUAAAUUUUGCGAGAAAAAAAACAAAAAAAGUUAAUUAAAUUGAUCGAAAAUUCAAAAAAAGAACAUUUCCCUUUUCGACCAACAGAUGGCGUUACUUUCAUAUUCUCCAAAAUUGCUAACCCAUAAUGUGGAUUAAAACAGGAGAUUAACGAUGUAAAUGAGAAAUGAUGAUGAUGAUGAAAAGUAAUUAACAAUGUAAUUAAUCAAUUCACCCCUUGUGUUUUUUUUCCAUGAAUGUUUGUCUGUUGAAGGAGCAUGACAAAAUAACCAUGGAUUUGAAGAAAAAAAUUCAGUCAAGUCUCAAAGAGAGAUGAUGUUUAUUACCCUAACCUGUAAAUAGGAAAAAGCGAAAACAAAAAGGAAUCCUGGAUAAGUAAUAAUGAUGAUCUCAAAUGAUUGCGGUUAGAGAGCAAUUUUUUUUUCUACUCUCCUCUAUUCACUUAUGUUUAUGUACUGUUACUUUUACUGGUUAAUGAUAAUGGUGUUGCGAGUGGAGCAAUUCUGGUGAUUAUGAUGAUGAUGAUGAUGAUGAGACACCACUUUAUGAUCCAAAUUAAUGUGCUAAGAUAAUGGUUUUAAUACAUUUCGGGUCAAUGGAUGUGUAAAUAAAGAAAUGAAUGAAUUGAGGUGAGAAUAAUUUACACCCAAAGGUGAAGUGGAAAAGCUCAAGGAAUGUGAACACAGGUAGUUAUUCAUUAGUAUCUAUUUUAGAUAAAGAUAUAGAUAAAGUCAUUGGCGAAAACCUCUGACUUGAUGAAUGGGCUGAUGAGUAGAAAAUCAUUUGAAAAGACGCGACAUUUUGACACAAAUCUAUGGGUUAACUUUCAUUUUCCCUGUUGAUGGAUUAACUUAAACUCACCAAACCAAUUCUUCCCUCUCAAGAAAUCCUUAUCCCAUGUUUCCUUUUCCAGAAGAAAAAACCUCAACAAUCAUCCAAUGUAUCUUCAUAUCAACUUGAUGUCUCAACAUUUUCGACAAAGUAAUUGUAGAUGGUUGGGAUAUAAAGUAAAGAGAGAAACAAUAAAAGGCCAUGGGACAAGAGAAGUUAGCAAACUGGACAAGACAAACACAUACAAACAGUGACAAGCUAAAGGAGUGAUGUUUAGACUAAAUAAGAUUUUCCCCUUUCUUUUGAUUUAUUUGUUCGAUUGCUAUAAAUCAACCGGAAGCUAAAAUCCAUUACUUUCAUUGAGAUUGAAAACUGUGUUUCAUCACCGAAUUUCAACAAUAAUUCUGUAACUUUCAUCUAUUUUUCUCCUAUCAAAACCCCCCAAUGAGCACAAAUUCUUUUGUCGUGUGAGUUGUUUCAUCUCUUCCAUAGGUUUAAUCUGCUUUCUUUCUCCUCGUGCACGAGUUUUGUAUUCAUGUUGCUAUCUUCUUCUUUUCCUCCUUCGUCCCUUAUUCUUCCUCUCUCUCUCUCUUCCUAUUCUUUAGCUAAAAAAGCCUAAUUCGCACUUGCCUCCCCAUAAAUCAAACUGGGUGAGGUUUUCUUCUGCACGCAAUCUUCUGUCUUUUUCCUUUUCCCUUUUUUUUCUUCACUGUUCUUUUUUCUAUUCUCUUCCAUUUUUGUUCAGUCUACUCUGAUAAUUGUCUUUUUCUCUUUCUAUUCGUCUAUCCCAGUUCUAUUGAACAUUUUCCAUUCUCUAACAGAUCCCAAAAUGAGAAGUUAAAAGCUGAUAAAAGAGGAUAUCGAAAGAUAGGAAGGAGGGAAAGUUUACUUUGUUUUGUUCCUUAAAGAUGAAGAGAACAAGAAAACACCAACGUUAUCACCAUUAUAAUUGGUCUGUUUAUAUUGUAAUCGUUGCAGUCAAGGUGAAAGGUUAAAUUGGCUAAUCAAGGAAUGAAAGAUGAAAAAAGUACUAAAGAAAAAGGUAAUUUAUUUACCUCUCCAAUUUGUAAGAUCGUUGAAAUAACAUCAUCAUAACUUAAUAUUGUUGGUAACAAGUUACAAGAACGAAAUGUAAUUUCCCAGGUCAAAAGUCACUUCCACCUUAUAACCCUUCACGUCUCUGGAUAUUAUCAAUAUAAGUAUAAUAACAAUUGACUGGAAAAAAGAAUGGAAAUAGAAAGUUAACUCUCGAUGAAUUUAAGGAAAAUUCACCCUGAUUCUUAUUCCAAUGGAAAUGUGAUUUCUCUGAUUUUCUGUCAAACAAGUGAGAUAGAUUAAGAUUUUUUUCCUUCUCAAGUAAUUCAUCAAUUCGACUGAAUCUGUUCAGGAGGAGAAGAAGAAAAAAAAAGUUGAUACAAACAUGAGGAAUAUUUGAUCGCAUCUUAACAUGGAAAGUCAAUCAAAUUUUUCUCUUCUUUUUCUUCCGCCUUCUUCUUAUACUUUUCCUCCUUCGAUAACAACCUCUUUUCUGUUCCUGAUAUAACAUUUUCUCUGGGGAUUUUAUAUUCAGUCUCUAUCGCCAUCUUUAUCAUCAUCAUGAUAACCUUACUAUUUACAAUUCUUUUCCCUCUUCUCUCUCUCUCUCUUUCUUUCUUUCUUUUCUCUCCUUUCAUCGUGAUCAUUAUUCCGAUUGACAAAAAUUUGUUCCAGGUCAUCUUUGUUUUACCAACCAACGGUAAUCCGAAGUGUUUGAAAUUGGCCGUUCACCUGACAAUUUUUGAGGUUCUAUGACUUAUGACUUAUCGUUGUUUUGACCUGUUCGCGAUUGAAAAUUAGUCCCUAGCGAAUAACUAAUUAUAUAGGAUGAAUGAGCCAAUUGAGUUGUUUAACUAGAAAGAAAGAGAAAAAGAAAGAGUUGGUAAAGAUAAAUAGUAAGACCAAAAAUGAUUGAGAGGCUCAGAUGAUGAUGAUGAUGAUGAUGGAGAAAGAGAAUAGUCGACAAGAACUCUCUCUCUCUCUCUCCAUGAACCAUGUUGUCCUCUUCAAUUCAUCAAUCCAGGUGAAAAAAUAUAAAUUACCAGGAAAUUGAUCCCAAAUCAUGUUUACUUUUGGUAAUAUUUAUUUUCUCGUAUUUUGUUUACAUUCGAGUCCCGAACAAAGCAAAAAGUAUUGAAGUUUAUGUUGACUUAUUAAUUCAAUUGGGAUGAAAUGUUUCCAAUGAUUAAAGUAUCAUGAUGAAAGUUGUGUUGAGUUUCAUGAAACAGAAUUGAAAGUUGCAUGUUAAGAAAAUUCUAAGAACAAAAAAAAAGAAGAAAAUGUGAAGUGGGAGGUUUAAUCACUCCUUUUACUUUUUUCUUAUGUAAUCAAUCGGCCUGAAAGUCAGGAUGAUGAUGAUCAUCAUCAUGAGGAUAAUGAUGAUAGAAAGGAAGAUGAAGCAAAUAAUAAAAAGCUAGAAAAAGAGGAAAAGUAAAAAAAAAGAAUGAAAAAUUGUGAAUGGAAAUUAACCUUACGAUAAUAAUUCUGCUUUUGAUUUUGAUUAGAAGAUGAGGUUGAGAUCAUGAUGGAAACUCUGACAAUGUUGGAACAGAAAAUCUCAUGAAAUAAAGAUGAAAAAUUCAGCAAAGUUUCUUGUUCUUUUUCUUAUCAUCAUGGUUGAUGCUUUAUUCUGAUGAUAACAAGAAUAGAAACUAUAAAAUAUGCAAAAAAAUUGAAGAUAAAACUCGAAACUAUGAUAAGUUUUCUGUUCUUCCCAUUUUGAGAAAAGAUAAAAACGACAUUUGGUUAUUUUCUUCUUAAGCUAUAAUUUUGUCGCAUUUUCCUUUACCAUGAUGCCCAUUUGGAUUCUCAUUUGGACCAUGAACACUUAAGGUGGGUAUUAAUUUUGUCUCUUAUAAGACAAAGACGAUGUUAAGAAUGAAAAUGAAUCAUAAUGAGUCGAUAUUAUUGAUAUUUGAUAUUUUUGUUGUUCCAAAUGGUGGAUAAGCAAAAUUGUCAGGAAAUUGUCUUCAAAAUUUAGUAAUAAAUCAGAUGAUUUUCUGUCAGCUAAUCAACCUUUUUGGUAUGAUUUGUGUGACGAUAAAGAGAGAAAGGAUGAUGAUAUGGAUGAGAGAGAGAGAGAGAGAGAGAGAGAGAGAGAGAGAGAGAGAGAGAGAGGAAUAUGAGGAUGAUGGUAAAAGAUGAAAAGAUUGUUUUUCCUUUCACUUCUUCAUUCUUGUUUGUUGUUGUUGUAGUUUCACUUGCAAUCGAAUGAUGAAUGAUUAAUUUAGUCCCCAUGAGGACAUCUUUCAUUUCUCUAAGGAAGAAAAAUCCUUCAUCCUCUCAUUUUUCUUCCCAUCCUCAUCAUCAUUCUCAUCAUUUCUUCUAAUCUCACCCCCACCUUUCUCUCUCUCUCUCUUCCAUCAUCCUUGUCUUCAUAAAGAGAGGGCACCACUACGAUUAUAUCAGGGAGAAAAAAAAUUGUUUCUUCAGCUGAAUCUUUCUACUCAUUUCAGGUUCACCCUUUGCUAUAUAUUCUGAUACUUUUUCAUUUCUCUUACACCCUCCCUCCUUUGCUCUCUCCAUUCGUCCUCCUCCUACUCCUACUUGCCUCUUUCUUUUCCUUUUUUCUCUCUCUUUUUCUCUUCAACUGACUGAAUGAGAAAAACCUUCGCUCCCUGAAGAGAGGAUGAAAAAGAAGAAGAUGAAAACAGCCCGACUUUUUUUCUCAGGAAAAAAACGAUCGGUUUAUCGAUUUUCUCUCUCUCUCUCUCUCUCUCCCUAUCUUCUUCUACUGGCCUUUCUCUUCUUCCAUAGAGAAGAAGCAGAAGAAGAUGAUGAGGAAAUAACAAUCGAUUGAAACCUAGAUUGAUACCAAAUCCAUCAUUCUAAGCGAAUCCUCUCCCUCCUUCUCCUCCUUCUCUCAUCCCGUUUUAUCUUCUCUCUCCCCCUAAACUUCCCUGUUAUGUAUUAUUAUCAUCAUCAACAUCAUCAUUAUCAACCUACAUAUAAAACGAAUGUGAAUAUAAUUGUUUUUACCAAAUCGAAUGGAAAACAUGAUUUCUGAACAUUUCCAUUCUGAAAUUUUUUCUUCAUCAUCAUUUAUUAAACUCUUAUAUCGCCUCUCUUUCUCUCUCUCUCUUUCUCUCGAAAAGUUCUGAUGAUCACAAUUGUAUAUUCAUGAUAUGAAAGAAUCAAUGAAACAUUAUCAUAAUCAAAUGAUGAUCUAAAAUGAACAAUCUUAUUAUCUAAUCAAUUGAAGUAACACUUUUCUGAUUCAGAUAAAAUCAUCUAAUAGAUUGAUAAAUAGAGAAAAAUGUUUCUCUUUUUCCCUGAUUAUCUAAUUAAGUUAAUAACCGAUUACACUCAUCUGGGAACUUAAUUAGUAAAUAGUUUGAGAUGAUGAUGAGAAAAGGAAAAGAAAGAAAUUGAAAGAUGAAUAUUAUGUUUAUCUUGUUGAUGAGAUGAAGAUAAUGAUGAAAAUUUCAUUAAUGAUGGACACUCAGUGAACAUUAUCAUCUGAAUUAUCUGAAGCAAGACUCAUACUGUGAGAAGUUGCAGUCAAUUGAUCCACAAGGAAAUCAACACCGAUACUAAUGAUUAUCAUUCAAAUAAAUAAGUGUUACUAUUACUAUCACGUCAUCAUUAUCACCAAUAUCAACAAGAACUACAAUAACAUGAUCAUUUUCAGGGUAAUUCAUUUGAAUUGAUGAUAUGAAGAGGGAAACAUUUUCACCAGUUGAAACCAAUUGAGUUUCAUGAUUGUAACAAUAGUUUAAAUAUGUACAUAAAUAAGAUAUUGAUAUUAGCCUGAGAAAUGAUAAAAUGUAGCUCAUGUUUAAUGCUGAUGAAAUGGCGAUAAUGAUGAUAAUGAUAAGCCGAUGAUGAUGAUAAUGAUGAUUGCGAUUUAUAUUCUGAUAAAAUGAAGUUUCCAUCAUGUUGAUUACCUGUUGACAGGUCAACCGUCACAAUGUGAUGAAAAUGAAUCACAAAUUUGCAUCUCAAUGAAUUUGUUACCUGUUUGUUUCUGGAAGAUUUUUACUUUUUCACCAAGAAUCACUUUUGAGUAUGGUGAUGGUAAAAUUGAGUCACAACAACAAUGAAAAUCAACAGAAAACUUUAAUGAUGAUAUGACAAUAAUAAGGGGCGAUAAUGAUUUCAAAUGCAUCAACUGUUUUGCGAUCAAUUUAUUUGAAAGCCUUGCAAACAAAACCAGGUAAAGAUGAAUGCUAAAUGAUUAAAUGAACUUCAAGGUGUCGAUUGACCAAAGUAGCGUGAAAAAAACGCGUCAAACAAUCAAGAAACCAAGAAAAGGUAAAUCUACUUGUUUGGUGAAUUAUUUUCUGUCUCAAUUUGAUGAACAUUAUCAAGACCAUCUGAUGAAUGGAUGGUAAUUCAUUUGCACCCAAAUAGCUCAUUUAUCACCAUGUAAACUCGUCAGUUGAUAUAAUACAUAUGAUAGAGACUGAAAUUCUUAGGUUGAACUUUAAGGAAAAUCUAAACAAAUUAUUAUUAUAAUGAGCGAAUUUCCUAAAUGCCAAGUUCGAACUUUUUUUUUUCCUUCUAAAUCUCGAAAUUGUUUCAAAUUUCGAGAACUCCAGCCAACAGGAAACACGUUUGAAACUUUUUUCCUAUUCUAAUGUUUCUUAUCAUCUGUUGCCCAAUCUAAUCUGAUGUGUGGUCUGAACGUAUUCAUGAUAAGAAAAUGAGAUGAGAAUAAAAAAAAAUAUGUCAUUAAAAAAAGAAAGGUGAUUGUUACAGGUAAGAACUGAACUUAUUAUUAUUAUUAACGAAUAGAAACUUUUUUUUUCUUUUUUUCUUUUUCUCUUCUAAUAUCAUUUAAUAUCUUAAUGGCCAGUUCUCUUUAAGAACAGAUUCAAAGUCCGAAAGUUUAUUUUCUAUUCUCUUCCCAAGUUUUUCUAUCAAAAUGAUGAUGAUGAUGAAGAUAAUGAUGAUAAGAUGAAGAUAAAAAGCAGUUAAAAGGUAGAAAUUUAAAAUCUAUAAAAGUGUAUUUAUCUUAUAUAUUCAAAAACAAAGUUCGCUUUCCAAAUGUAAUAAAAAUCUUUCUUCAUCGUGAGAGGCUUAAUAGUUUUUUCUUCUUCUUGUUGUUCAAUGUUUUCUGUAAAUUCUUGAGGAUGAUGAUGAUGAUGAUGAUGAAAGGGAAGCGAAUGUUCCAGGUAACAAAAAUGGCGAAAUAGUUGGUUUGAUAUGAGAGAAAAAGAAAAGACAAUUUCAUGAUCAUUUAUUCGUGUCUUCAAUCAACAAUCACCGAAAUCAACCAUCAUCAUGUUUGAUGUAAUUCUGUUGAUUAUACUUAUCAUCAUUAACAUUCGUAUUGUUAUUCAUGAUUACCUGUAUUCUAAUGAUAAGAAUAAUAACUUUUAUCAUUAUAGAGAAACUUUUAUAAUGUCAUCUGACAAAUUUUCUUCAGAUCAAUUUUCAGGGCAUUUUCCUUGAAAUUCCAUUGAAUUUUAUCUCAUCUGCGAUCAGGCUGAUGAAAGAGAAGACAAAAUUCUGUUACAGGUAAAAAAUUCAUCAAGACGAAAUGUUGAUAUUCAUUAUUUUCUCUAAGCCUUUCAUCAAAAUUUUCCCUGAAAAUCGACUGAGUUUUUAUAUCAUUUCCAUGAAGAGACAAAGAUGAAAACUUGUCAAUAUCAUGAGUUGAUUGUUUCAUUUGAAAUUCUGGCGGAAAAUAAAAUCAAAAAGUGCGGCGAACAACAAAUUCAAUUACUAAUUGUCUCUCUUAAUUCAAUGUCACCAUCUAUCAAUCAUUUAACUACAGAAUCAAUUGUUGAUGAUAAUGAUCAGCAAAUAAUUUAUUACACGAAAAAAUGUUCAGGUAAAAGUUGUGAUUAUCUUUUUUUUCAUCAUAAUUUCAUGAUAUCAAUCACACUUAGAAAUGAACAUUUUUUAUGCACAUAUAUCAAUAAAUAUAUCGUCAUCAUCAUCAUCAUUAAGAUGACUAUUAACACUGAUUGCCCUUUUGUGUUUAACUUGUUUGAUUCUAAACCAUCAAUUGAUUGUAACAAUCAUAAUGAUGAUGAUGAUGGUUUGCAAAAA